AACGAACGCUGGCGGCAUGCCUAACACAUGCAAGUCGAACGAGACCUUCGGGUCUAGUGGCGCACGGGUGCGUAACGCGUGGGAACCUGCCCUUAGGUUCGGAAUAACUCCCCGAAAGGGGUGCUAAUACCGGAUAAUGUCUUCGGACCAAAGAUUUAUCGCCUUUGGAUGGGCCCGCGUUGGAUUAGCUAGUUGGUAGGGUAAAAGCCUACCAAGGCGACGAUCCAUAGCUGGUCUGAGAGGAUGAUCAGCCACACUGGGACUAAGACACGGCCCAGACUCCUACGGGAGGCAGCAGUGGGGAAUAUUGGACAAUGGGCGAAAGCCUGAUCCAGCAAUGCCGCGUGAGUGAUGAAGGCCUUAGGGUUGUAAAGCUCUUUUAACCGGGAUGAUAAUGACAGUACCGGGAGAAUAAGCUCCGGCUAACUCCGUG
rnacentral:rRNA from 1 species